UGGAGUAGUUUUUGGCAUUUGAACUACUAUUUUUGAAAAGAUAUAAGUAUUAACUCUGGGGAUAGAGGUAGCUUUUGAAAAAUUGUAUGUAGUUUAUCUCUAUUAUCAAUUUAAACUAACAAAUAACUUUACUUUUACCGAACAUUAAUUAUCACACAAACUGUUUUUAAAUCCAAACUUUAACAACUAAUAUCUGACAACUAACCAUCUAAUCGCUAGUUUAACAACGAAAAACUACCACAACAACUAUUUAUGCCGAACAUACCCAUAUCUACCCAUUUUCUUUUGCAAGUGGCCCACCACUCAUAUUCUUCUCCAGCCAAAAAGAAGCCUCUGAGUCACUGACAGAGAAGGAGAAGAAGAGGCGACUACCAUAGAAAAGCAAGAAGCCAGAGAGAUACAAGAAGAGAAUGGAAACAAGAUAGAUCCGCUGAUGCACUCCAGUCUAGCACAACAGGGACUUGUUGCAUGAUUCGGUUCAGCACAACACUAGUAUUGCUUGUCAAAUCAGAAGCCCCACCAAAGACGAAGCUGCCGUUUCGAGCAAAGAAGGCAUAGCUGCAAGACUGGUUAGUAAAUGAGCGACGUCCAUCCAAGCUGGUUAGUGUAAUAUGGAAACCUUGCCAGCCAGUUAAGACAGACGUCUGGCAACAACCUGAGCCCAAACAAGAACCUUGGGUCACCACUUGGUCCACCUCUAAAUUGCACAGUGCAAUACAACCAGCCUUUUCAUCAUUCGUAAUCUCUGUAGAACCGGAAAUUAGUGCGUAUUCAUCACAACCAAUGACCGUGAGCUUGUUUGUAUUAGAUACGCUAUAGGGAGAUCCUUGCAUACCCAAGGACCCUUCAAUAUAAGAGGUCUCUAUUCCCCGGGAAUCAUAGCAACGUGAAGUUACCGCAGUAUUCCGGAUAAUUACUUGGUUUUCGGUCAUCUCCAAGAUUUCUGGGUAUAUUUCAUCAGGAUCAAACCCUGUCAAAGCGAAGGCUUUUGGAGGGUUGUAAGAGGUGUUGCAUCUGAUGGCAAAUACAUCCCUAAAGUAGCAACCAUUGCCAAUACCAAAUGGGUAUGGGAUGGUUAAGUUGCCACAUUUUCGUUGGCAACCGGGUUUUGUGGUGUUUGUGGUUGUGAACAUGGUUGUUGGUGUUAUUGAAGCGUCGGUGCCAACCAAUAUGGUGACACCUAUUGAGAGUAAAAGGAGAACCCAUGGAAGAUGCAUUUUUUUAGUAUUCAGAUUUUUUUUUGGAAAUCCUGCUGAAGUGUUUUUAAACAAAUAUGAUUCAGGCGGCUAUAGAAAACAUAAGAUUAUUGCUAAGAAAACGUGUAACCAGAACGUUGAAUAUGUGGUAUGAUUUAUGAAGUAUGAAACACUAUUAUUUCAA